UACGUAGGGUGCAAGCGUUGUCCGGAUUUAUUGGGCGUAAAGAGCGUGUAGGCGGCCAGGUAGGUCUGCUGUGAAAACUCGAGGCUCAACCUCGAGACGUCGGCGGAAACCAUCUGGCUAGAGUCCGGAAGAGGAGAAUGGAAUUCCUGGUGUAGCGGUGAAAUGCGCAGAUAUCAGGAAGAACACCGAUGGCGAAGGCAGUUCUCUGGGACGGUACUGACGCUGAGACGCGAAAGCGUGGGGAGCGAACAGG
rnacentral:rRNA from 1 species